GACGAACGCUGGCGGCGUGCCUAAUACAUGCAAGUCGAACGCUUUUUCUUUCACCGGAGCUUGCUCCACCGAAAGAAAAAGAGUGGCGAACGGGUGAGUAACACGUGGGUAACCUGCCCAUCAGAAGGGGAUAACACUUGGAAACAGGUGCUAAUACCGUAUAACACUAUUUUCCGCAUGGAAGAAAGUUGAAAGGCGCUUUUGCGUCACUGAUGGAUGGACCCGCGGUGCAUUAGCUAGUCGGUGAGGUAACGGAUCACCAAGGCAACGAUGCAUAGCCGACCUGAGAGGGUGAUCGGCCAGACUAGGACUGAGACACGGCCCAGACUCCUACGGGAGGCAGCAGUAGGGAAUCUUCGGCAAUGGACGAAAGUUUGACCGAGCAACGCCGCGUGAGUGAAGAAGGUUUUCGGAUCGUAAAACUCUGUUGUUAGAGAAGAACAAGGAUGAGAGUAGAACGUUCAUCCCUUGACGGUAUCUAACCAGAAAGCCACGGCUAACUACGUGCCAGCAGCAGCCGCGG
rnacentral:rRNA from 1 species